ensembl:lncRNA
GCCCUACUAUUUAUAUUGUGAUUUUUACUUUCUCUCGUUCCCCGGUCGCUGACCUCAUCUUUCAGCACACCAUCAUGCCGUGUCGGGAGAGAGUCUCUACACAUCUCCCGUCCAUUCAUCACUUAAAAAUACAUGGCAGACAUGAGGCUCCAUCUCUCUGUGCCGUGGUGUGUCCAUGUUUCUGUCAGGCGCUGAUCUCUGGUUGGCUGCCGUCUCUCAGCCUGGCACAUUGUUCAGAAACACCACCUCCCCUCGAGUUCCUCCUCGAUGGCACUGACGCUGGCCUACGUUUGGCAAGGCGCUAGCUGAAUGUGUGCCGCCUUUUGUUGCCCAGAGAACAGGCUGAUCCUGGCACAGAGUCGCUCUCCUUUCACAACCCUCCUCCCCACGAUGCCCCGGAGUCAUCUGGCAUCAUUCCACCAGACAUCAGACCGCGUGCCCCCGCAUGAGCUGGAAUACUGGAGCGCACUGUGCCUGCCGUGGUCAGCUGGAAGGACGGCGUUCCUGAUUUCUGCUGGAACGCUCCGGAGGGUCUCCAUGAGUCUCAGGUGCUCAUUACGGCUCGCAGCAGGUGUCUGCUCAUUUCACCCGCGUCCGCUGAUCUCAGUUCAGCCUCGUGCGCUCGUUCUGACGGGGUCGUGUGUCCCGCGUCUCUGCCUGACCUCACAAACACGCCGUCAUCAUGCGAAGCAGAAGUUUUGCAGAAAGCCAGAUGUCUGACAGCAUGCUCUUAUCAUAGAGACGUUUACGGUCAUCAGCGAGGAACGAGACUGAUCCACCUGCAGAAAAAGUGAUAUUUCAAGGCAAGAUGGUUCAUAUUGGGAACAAACAUGGGCAGAAGUUUUCAUUCAUACUUU